rnacentral:lncRNA from 1 species
GUUUUCUCACUUGUCUUUUUGCAGGGUGUUGCUGGAGUUGAUGGGCCUCCAGGUCCCAAAGGAAACAUGGGCCCACAAGGAGAACCAGGCCCACCAGGGCAGCAGGGAAUCCCCGGGACACAGGGUCUUCCUGGUCCUCAAGGCCCCAUUGGACCACCUGGAGAAAAAGUAUGUGACCUGUACUACAGUAUAACCUAUAUUGUAACUUCAGCUAAUUCAGCUAAAUGUCAUCUUUUGUCAUUUGGUUCCUGCAGGUCA